UAAGGAAUAUUGCGCAAUGGGCGCAAGCCUGAUCCAGCCAUGCCGCGUGAGUGAAGAAGGCCUUCGGGUUGUAAAGCUCUUUCGGCGGGGACGAAAUGGUUCGUGCCAAUACCACGGACUGAUGACGGUACCUGAAGAAUAAGCACCGGCUAACUACGUGCCAGCAGCCGCGGUAAUACGUAGGGUGCAAGCGUUAAUCGGAAUUACUGGGCGUAAAGCGUGCGCAGGCGGUUGUGUAAGUCAGAUGUGAAAUCCCCGGGCUCAACCUGGGAAUUGCAUUUGAGACUGCACAGCUGGAGUACGGCAGAGGGGGAUGGAAUUCCGCGUGUAGCAGUGAAAUGCGUAGAUAUGCGGAGGAACACCGAUGGCGAAGGCAGUCCCCUGGGCCUGUACUGACGCUCAUGCACGAAAGCGUGGGGAGCAAACAGGAUUAGAUACCCGGGUAGUCCCUGAGCGGGCUGGCAAGGCGCAU
rnacentral:rRNA from 1 species